rnacentral:rRNA from 1 species
UACGUAGGGUGCAAGCGUUAAUCGGAAUUACUGGGCGUAAAGCGUGCGCAGGCGGCUUUGCAAGACAGAUGUGAAAUCCCCGGGCUUAUCCUGGGAACUGCAUUUGUGACUGCAUGGCUGGAGUGCGGCAGAGGGGGAUGGAAUUCCGCGUGUAGCAGUGAAAUGCGUAGAUAUGCGGAGGAACACCGAUGGCGAAGGCAAUCCCCUGGGCCUGCACUGACGCUCAUGCACGAAAGCGUGGGGAGCAAACAGG